AUAUGGCAUAAAAUUAUCAGAUAUGUAAGUUCAAGGACUUACAUAGAGUAUAUAUGCCAUACAAGUUUUAUUCCCUCCGUGAAAUCGGUAAAAAUAUAAAUAUAAAAGCACGUUCUAGUAACAAGAAAUUCUUGUGAAAGAGAGUGCUUUUU
rnacentral:ncRNA from 12 species